CAUGAAGGGGAAUCUGCUCUAAUUACUGUUCAUGCCUAUUACCUGGGAGUCCAUUAGUUGUAUGUAAACAUCAAAGUUCCAGUGCCACUGAACCAAGACACUGCUCUACCACACAUCCCCUCACUUCCCCUCCCUGCUCCUUCUAAAAGUUGUCACAGCUAGUAAGAAACCCUGCUGUAUGUGGUGGCCAAUCAGUAUGACGUCCGAUGGACUUUCCCUAUUUGUAACUACAUAAUUUUGAAG